rnacentral:rRNA from 2 species
AGAGUUUGAUCAUGGCUCAGAGCGAACGCUGGCGGCAGGCUUAACACAUGCAAGUCGAACGGGCACCUUCGGGUGUCAGUGGCAGACGGGUGAGUAACACGUGGGAACGUGCCUUUCGGUUCGGAACAACUCCGGGAAACUGGAGCUAAUACCGGAUACGCCCUUCGGGGGAAAGAUUUAUCGCCGAAAGAUCGGCCCGCGUCUGAUUAGCUAGUUGGUAGGGUAAUGGCCUACCAAGGCGACGAUCAGUAGCUGGUCUGAGAGGAUGAUCAGCCACACUGGGACUGAGACACGGCCCAGACUCCUACGGGAGGCAGCAGUGGGGAAUAUUGGACAAUGGGCGAAAGCCUGAUCCAGCCAUGCCGCGUGAGUGAUGAAGGCCUUAGGGUUGUAAAGCUCUUUCGGCGGGGACGAUAAUGACGGUACCCGCAGAAGAAGCCCCGGCUAACUUCGUGCCAGCAGCCGCGGUAAUACGAAGGGGGCUAGCGUUGCUCGGAAUUACUGGGCGUAAAGCGCGCGUAGGCGGCUUUGUAAGUUAGAGGUGAAAGCCCGGGGCUCAACCCUUGAAAGCCGGUUGAUACUGUCGGGCUAGAGUCCGGAAGAGGCGAGUGGAAUUCCCGGUGUAGCGGUGAAAUGCGCAGAUAUCGGGAGGAACACCAAUGGCGAAGGCAGCUCGCUGGGACGGUACUGACGCUGAGACGCGAAAGCGUGGGGAGCAAACAGGAUUAGAUACCCCGGUAGUCC